rnacentral:rRNA from 1 species
UGGGGAAUCUUGCGCAAUGGACGAAAGUCUGACGCAGCGACGCCGCGUGGGUGAUGAAGGCCUUCGGGUUGUAAAGCCCUGUGGGGAGAGACGAAUAAGUGAAGCCUAAUACGUUGCAUGAUGACGGUAUCUCCUUAGCAAGCACCGGCUAACUCUGUGGCAGCAGCCGCGGUAAGACAGAGGGUGCAAACGUUGUUCGGAAUUACUGGGCGUAAAGCGUGUGUAGGCGGCCAAGCAAGUCGGAUGUGAAAGCCCCAGGCUCAACCUGGGAAGUGCACCCGAUACUGCCUGGCUUGAGUAUCGGAGAGGUUGGUGGAAUUCUCGGUGUAGAGGUGAAAUUCGUAGAUAUCGAGAGGAACACCGGUGGCGAAGGCGGCCAACUGGACGAAUACUGACGCUGAGACACGAAAGCGUGGGGAGCAAAC